rnacentral:lncRNA from 1 species
GAUGGUAUGGGUUCAACCCAGGUUCAUUCUUGACCAUCAUGAAAGGGUAUGGUGGUGGUGGAGGUUAUUAUGGACAAUGGAGUGCCGUAGGGAGGACAGCUGUCACGACGACAUUGGCCGGGUGCACAGCUGCUCUUACAACCUUGUUUAGCAAGAGACUAUUAGUUGGCCAUUGGAAUGUAAUUGAUGUGUGCAAUGGUUUAUUAGGAGGCUUUGCUGCAAUUACCUCAGGGUGUUCAGUAGUGGAACCAUGGGCAGCAAUCAUAUGUGGCUUUGUAGCGGCAUGGGUUCUAAUUGGAUUCAACAUGCUUGCAGCCAAGUUCAAGUACGAUGACCCAUUAGAAGCAGCCCAAUUACAUGGAGGAUGCGGCGCGUGGGGAUUACUCUUCACCGGGUUGUUCGCGACAAAGGCCUACGUCAACGAGGUGUAUCCGGGGCUGUCGGGGAGGCCAUAUGGGAUGUUCAUGGGCGGUGGAGGGAAGCUGUUAGGGGCUCAAAUCAUUCAGAUAUUGGUCAUAACAGGUUGGGUGACGGCGACAAUGGGGCCACUGUUUUAUGUGCUAAAAAAGAUGAAUUUGUUAAGGAUUUCAAGAGAGGAUGAAACAGCAGGGAUGGACUUGACUA